rnacentral:rRNA from 1 species
GAUGAACGCUGGCGGCGUGCCUAAUACAUGCAAGUCGAGCGAACAGACGAGUAGUUUGCCCCUCUGACGUUAGCCGCGGGCGGGUGAGUAACAUGGGGAUAACUUACCUAUAAGACUGGGACAAGUUCGGGAAACCGGAGCUAAUACAGGAGAAUAUAUGGAAACGCAUGGUUCAAUAGUGGAAGAGCGCUUUGCUGUCACUUAUUGACGGAUCAGCGGCGGAUUAGCUAGUUGGUAGGGUAACGGCCUACCAAGGCGACGAUGAGUAGCCGACCUGAGAGGGCGAUCAGCCACACUGGGACUGAGACACGGCCCAGACUCCUACGGGAGGCAGCAGUGGGGAAUCUUGGGCAAUGGGCGAAAGCCUGACGGAGCAACGCCGCGUGUGUGAAGAAGGUCUUCGGGUCGUAAAACACUGUUAUUCGGGAAGAACACAUGUGUCAGAAACCAGGCAGGUGAUGACGGUACCUGAAGAGAAAGCCACGGCUAACUACGUG